AUACGGAGGGUGCAAGCGUUGUUCGGAAUUACUGGGCGUAAAGCGCGUGUAGGCGGUCAGGCAAGUCGAAUGUGAAAGCCCCGGGCUCAACCCGGGAAUUGCAUCCGAAACUGCUUGGCUAGAGUCCCGGAGAGGAAGGCAGAAUUCCCAGUGUAGGGGUGAAAUCCGUAGAUAUUGGGAGGAAUACCAGUGGCGAAGGCGGCCUUCUGGACGGUGACUGACGCUGAGAUGCGAAAGCGUGGGGAGCAAACAGGAUUAGAAACCCCGGUAGUCC
rnacentral:rRNA from 1 species